rnacentral:rRNA from 1 species
AAAAGUGAAAGACGGUCUUGCUGUCACUUAUAGAUGGAUCCGCGCUGCAUUAGCUAGUUGGUAAGGUAACGGCUUACCAAGGCAACGAUGCAUAGCCGACCUGAGAGGGUGAUCGGCCACACUGGAACUGAGACACGGUCCAGACUCCUACGGGAGGCAGCAGUAGGGAAUCUUCCGCAAUGGGCGAAAGCCUGACGGAGCAACGCCGCGUGAGUGAUGAAGGUCUUCGGAUCGUAAAACUCUGUUAUUAGGGAAGAACAUAUGUGUAAGUAACUGUGCACAUCUUGACGGUACCUAAUCAGAAAGCCACGGCUAACUACGUGCCAGCAGCCGCGGUAAUACGUAGGUGGCAAGCGUUAUCCGGAAUUAUUGGGCGUAAAGCGCGCGUAGGCGGUUUUUUAAGUCUGAUGUGAAAGCCCACGGCUCAACCGUGGAGGGUCAUUGGAAACUGGAAAACUUGAGUGCAGAAGAGGAAAGUGGAAUUCCAUGUGUAGCGGUGAAAUGCGCAGAGAUAUGGAGGAACACCAGUGGCGAAGGCGACUUUCUGGUCUGUAACUGACGCUGAUGUGCGAAAGCGUGGGGAUCAAACAGGAUUAGAUACCCUGGUAGUCCACGCCGUAAACGAUGAGUGCUAAGUGUUAGGGGGUUUCCGCCCCUUAGUGCUGCAGCUAACGCAUUAAGCACUCCGCCUGGGGAGUACGACCGCAAGGUUGAAACUCAAAGGAAUUGACGGGGACCCGCACAAGCGGUGGAGCAUGUGGUUUAAUUCGAAGCAACGCGAAGAACCUUACCAAAUCUUGACAUCCUUUGACAACUCUAGAGAUAGAGCCUUCCCCUUCGGGGGACAAAGUGACAGGUGGUGCAUGGUUGUCGUCAGCUCGUGUCGUGAGAUGUUGGGUUAAGUCCCGCAACGAGCGCAACCCUUAAGCUUAGUUGCCAUCAUUAAGUUGGGCACUCUAAGUUGACUGCCGGUGACAAACCGGAGGAAGGUGGGGAUGACGUCAAAUCAUCAUGCCCCUUAUGAUUUGGGCUACACACGUGCUACAAUGGACAAUACAAAGGGCAGCGAAACCGCGAGGUCAAGCAAAUCCCAUAAAGUUGUUCUCAGUUCGGAUUGUAGUCUGCAACUCGACUACAUGAAGCUGGAAUCGCUAGUAAUCGUAGAUCAGCAUGCUACGGUGAAUACGUUCCCGGGUCUUGUACACACCGCCCGUCACACCACGAGAGUUUGUAACACCCGAAGCCGGUGGAGUAACCUUUUAGGAGCUAGCCGUCGAAGGUGGGACAAAUGAUUGGGGUGAAGUCGUAACAAGGUAGCCGUAUCGGAAGGUGCGGCUGGAUCACCUCCUUUCUAAGGA